rnacentral:lncRNA from 1 species
AAAAUAACAUCUCAGUCUAAACAACAAACAGCUAAGAGGAAACAGACAGUUAAAAGAAAGAAACAGGCCAGUGUUAAUCGAUCAAAACAAGGAAAACCAAAUGGUAAAAGAAGGGUUGUGACUGUCACCAAAACUGUCAUCAUUCCUGUAAUUGAUGAAGUGAAAAGAUAUAUUUGGCUUUGGAUUUUUAUUUUUAUGAUGAACAUAGCUGUUUCAAUUCUCAUUUUGCUUGUGAUGAUGUUAUUAAAGUGUUUGUGUUCAGUA